AUACGUAGGUGGCGAGCGUUGUCCGGAAUCAUUGGGCGUAAAGAGCGCGUAGGUGGUUUGUCAGGUCUGAUGUGAAAACCUGGGGCUCAACUCCAGGCCUGCAUCGGAAACCGGCUUGCUAGAGUCUGGGAGAGGAGAGUGGAAUUCCUGGUGUAGCGGUGAAAUGCGUAGAUAUCAGGAGGAACACCGGUAGCGAAGGCGGCUCUCUGGAACGGUACUGACACUGAGGCGCGAAAGCUAGGGGAGC
rnacentral:rRNA from 1 species